AAGCCGCCUCGGCCUUCGCCAUAAAUUCUGCUCCUUUUGAGCCUGCAAUUAGUGUUAGGAAGCACCCGAGUCUAAACACAACCAAACGCCCUCUGAAGGGCCCAACUGCCCGCGGUUGCAAACCUUGUUUAUUUCCCAGCGCCACUCUCUCCGCACCCCGAGGUCUGCACACACAUUCGCCGCCUCCCCCGCCACCGCCGGCGGUCCACACUCGGCUGGGUUCCCGCUCUGCGAGGGAAGGUCACAAUAGCGGCUCUAUCGGCGGAGGCGCCCGCCUCCUCCCUCGCAGGCCUCGGAGCAGCAGAGACAGACGAGGGUGGGGGAGGGGAGCCCGGCCCGGCAAUGGCGCCCUGGGCCAGGCUUCUCCCUCUCCCGAGGAGGACCUGCGGCGGACAGGGACCAGGCGGCAGGGGGAGGAAGCCUCUGCCCUAGCCUGGGACGUUCCCCGGGCCCGGCGCGCUGGGGGCCGCGGGGUGCGCCCCGAAGCCUCGAGGCUGCUGGCCCUGGCCGCCCGGAGCAGCCGGGUCUUCCGGGAGCGGCCGCGCCAUUGUGCGCGCGGCGCCCCCAAGGGCUCCGCGGCGGGGAAGGCCACACAAAGGCAGCGCGGGGCCGGCGCCGGGCCGUGGGAGAGGGCCAGGCUGCGCUCGGGCCGUGGUCUCUGGGAGGCUCCCCUCGCUUGCCUAAGCGGAGGAAAUGGCUCUUUGGCUCAGGCCUCGGCCUGUUCUAUUUUCUUCCCAUAGAGACCGCUUUGGGGAAGGUGGGGACCAGGGAGGUUGUGGGGGAUCCUCCUGAGGCCUGAAGAAAGGGAUCAGGGCUGCAAGCCCAGGCCCAUGGCUGGGGGGUGGCAGUCGUUUGGGAGCCCGUGGUUGUUCUGUCCAGGCAGUCAAAUGUGAAUUAAUGCAGGGUAGGGGUGAGGCAGUGGGAAUGGCCCGCUGCAAAAUGGGAGGUUGGGGUGGGGAAAGAGAUUUAGGGAGAGGGAGAGCUUGCUCUGGCUACCAGGAGAGGCUCAGGACCCAGCCUGGAGUGGAGUGAGAAGACUCAACUGAGCUAGCCAGGAGGAUGGGGAAGUUGCAGAGGAAAGCCCUGAAGAGUAGUCCUGGCCCCAGAAAGGCGGCUUUCAAAGGAAAGAGGGAGAGAACACAGAAUGAGUACUUCUCUUUGGUGCAGCCCCAAGCCCCGUCCCUAUCAGAGACACAUCAGCUAGACUGGUUUCUCAGGCCCCAGAGGCUGCUAACCUUGCUGAAUAGGAUUUUUCGAAUUUCUAUCUAUAAGGAGUAUUAAAAGACAGUGAUUACCUAUAUUAGCUACUCAUCUCUUCUCCCUCCCCCAUUCCAUACCAGCCAACUGACCCUUGAGUGAAGUGCAUCUUUUCAGCCAGCAGGCUUGAGAGCCUAGGCUCUCCAUCUGUUGAGGUUUUUCAUUAGGGAGGGGGAAGAGGAUGUGUGUGUGGGGGGUGUAUUUUUGAAUAACAAAGAACAAACCCAACCUUCCAAUAAAAAGCGUGUCUCUGCUUGACCUGGGGGGGCCAGAAGCUUGUUUACACCUUUAGUAUCCAAGGGACAGGCCUGUUUUGACUUUAUCCUGAGAAUUAGCUGAAACUUCCUCCUGAAAUCAAGAAUUGGUUAAUCCCUGUUACAAAUCCAGGAAGGUCCUCUUCAUCUGGGAGUUCUUGGCUUUACUUUGGUCCUUCUUUCAGAAACUGUAGGAAAAGAAGAGAAUGAACUGAAGUUUGUGAGUAUUAAAUAAAACUAGAGGCAGAAGGCUCCAGUUGCCAUGGGCCUACAGCCUUAUCAUUUCAGGGCACUGUAACUUCCCAGAGAGGGUAUAGCUAAGGGCCUGGGUGAGCUGACCUAUCCCUAGACACUUUGGACACAGGAAGCUGAGACUGCCAGCCAUGCCCGUACCACCUCUGAGGACUGGCUCGCUUAGAUCUCUCUUGCUG
ensembl:lncRNA